GAUGAACGCUGGCGGCGUGCCUAAUACAUGCAAGUCGAGCGAACGGACGAGAAGCUUGCUUUUCUGAUGUUAGCGGCGGACGGGUGAGUAACACGUGGAUAACCUACCUAUAAGACUGGGAUAACUUCGGGAAACCGGAGCUAAUACCGGAUAAUAUUUUGAACCGCAUGGUUCAAAAGUGAAAGACGGUCUUGCUGUCACUUAUAGAUGGAUCCGCGCUGCAUUAGCUAGUUGGUAAGGUAACGGCUUACCAAGGCAACGAUGCAUAGCCGACCUGAGAGGGUGAUCGGCCACACUGGAACUGAGACACGGUCCAGACUCCUACGGGAGGCAGCAGUAGGGAAUCUUCCGCAAUGGGCGAAAGCCUGACGGAGCAACGCCGCGUGAGUGAUGAAGGUCUUCGGAUCGUAAAACUCUGUUAUUACGGAAGAACAUAUGUGUAAGUAACUGUGCACAUCUUGACGGUACCUAAUCAGAAAGCCACGGCUAACUACGUG
rnacentral:rRNA from 1 species